AACGGACCCUUCGGGGUUAGUGGCGGACGGGUGAGUAACACGUGGGAACGUGCCUUUAGGUUCGGAAUAGCUCCUGGAAACGGGUGGUAAUGCCGAAUGUGCCCUUCGGGGGAAAGAUUUAUCGCCUUUAGAGCGGCCCGCGUCUGAUUAGCUAGUUGGUGAGGUAACGGCUCACCAAGGCGACGAUCAGUAGCUGGUCUGAGAGGAUGACCAGCCACACUGGGACUGAGACACGGCCCAGACUCCUACGGGAGGCAGCAGUGGGGAAUCUUGCGCAAUGGGCGAAAGCCUGACGCAGCCAUGCCGCGUGAAUGAUGAAGGUCUUAGGAUUGUAAAAUUCUUUCACCGGGGACGAUAAUGACGGUACCCGGAGAAGAAGCCCCGGCUAACUUCGUGCCAGCAGCCGCGGUAAUACGAAGGGGGCUAGCGUUGCUCGGAAUUACUGGGCGUAAAGGGCGCGUAGGCGGAUCGUUAAGUCAGAGGUGAAAUCCCAGGGCUCAACCCUGGAACUGCCUUUGAUACUGGCGAUCUUGAGUAUGAGAGAGGUAUGUGGAACUCCGAGUGUAGAGGUGAAAUUCGUAGAUAUUCGGAAGAACACCAGUGGCGAAGGCGACAUACUGGCUCAUUACUGACGCUGA
rnacentral:rRNA from 1 species